AACGAACGCUGGCGGCAUGCCUAACACAUGCAAGUCGAACGAUUGCCUUCGGGUGAUAGUGGCGCACGGGUGCGUAACGCGUGGGAAUCUGCCCUUAGGUUCGGAAUAACAGCUGGAAACGGCUGCUAAUACCGGAUGAUAUCGCGAGAUCAAAGAUUUAUCGCCUGAGGAUGAGCCCGCGUUGGAUUAGGUAGUUGGUGAGGUAAAGGCCUACCAAGCCGACGAUCCAUAGCUGGUCUGAGAGGAUGAUCAGCCACACUGGGACUGAGACACGGCCCAGACUCCUACGGGAGGCAGCAGUGGGGAAUAUUGGACAAUGGGCGCAAGCCUGAUCCAGCAAUGCCGCGUGAGUGAUGAAGGCCCUAGGGUUGUAAAGCUCUUUUACCCGGGAAGAUAAUGACUGUACCGGGAGAAUAAGCCCCGGCUAACUCCGUG
rnacentral:rRNA from 1 species